rnacentral:misc_RNA from 1 species
CAUGAAACCUCAUCCUAAGGGUCUCCUUAGAAUGGACUUGACUGUUGCCUGAUGGCUCAGUUUAAAUGACUUAGCGGUGGACGCGUUGCUCUAAGCGUAAUAAGUUUCGCUUCUAGUAAAGUGGUCGCUGCUGCUAAUCUGAACUUCGGUUCACUUUAAUCUUCGACCUCAAAUCAGGUAGGACUACCCGCUGAACUUAA